GCCGAAGUGGUGGAAUUUGGUAGACACGCACGGUUGAGGGCCGUGUGGGGCAACCCAGUGGGGGUUCGAGUCCCCCCUUCGGCA
rnacentral:tRNA from 1 species